rnacentral:rRNA from 1 species
UACGUAGGGGGCGAGCGUUGUCCGGAUUCAUUGGGCGUAAAGCGCGCGUAGGCGGCUCCGCAAGUCGGCCGUGAAAUCUCCAGGCUCAACUUGGAGGGGUCGGGCGAGACUGCGGAGCUCGAGGUGGGCAGAGGGCAGUGGAAUUCCGGGUGUAGUGGUGGAAUGCGUAGAGAUCCGGAGGAACACCAGUGGCGAAGGCGGGUCUCUGGGCCGUAACUGACGCUGAGGAGCGAAAGCGUGGGGAGCGAACAGG